UUACGGCCAUAUCAAGUUGAAACACCGGCUCUCGUACGGUCACUGAAGUUAAGAAACGUGGAGUCUGGUCUGUACUUAGAUGGGUGACUUCUUGGGAAUACCAAGUGCUGUAAG